AAAGGUUUUAACAAACGUAAUCCCUUAUACUGGGUGGUGUACCCCCAUGAACCAAAAUUUGCAAACACACAAUAAAUAAGUACAAGGAAACACCAAAGACCACAAUAAAACAUGAAGCUGCACUCGACUCAAGACCCAAAUGAAAAUCCAAACCAUCCCAACAACAACAAAUAAGACCACAAGAGACACAUUGCUUAUAUCUAUCAUAUCUAUUGGAUCAGACAGAAACAACGAAUGCUAUUAACCUUUCAAAAAAAAAAAACUGACCGACAAU
rnacentral:misc_RNA from 1 species